rnacentral:ncRNA from 2 species
UUCUGGGAGGAUUGACAGAUUGAGAGCUAUUUCUUGAUUCGGUAGAUGGUGGUGCAUGUCCGUUCUUAGUCGGUGGAGCGAUUUGUCUGGUUAAUUCCGAUGACGAACGAGACUCUAGCCCCGUGGUUGUCAAUGGGGGUCCGCGAAGGGCAUUCUGGGGUUCCGCGAAGGGCAUUCUGGGGUUCCGCGAAGCCCUGCGUCAUCGGUCGAGCCCUGCAAUAAAAGUUGUCUUAUUCAAGGUCGAGAAGAAAUGUUUCAGUCUUCGGGCGCGUUUUCUCGUGUGUAUGUCAAUGAGAGAAGUCUACUUCACACUAGCCCUUAGUAUAUCCAUUUAUCAAAUCAUUUUUAUACUUAACCUAUAAAUUUCCUCUCCUUUCACCACGAACGGGGUCCUUCAUCAUCUCCGCCGAUCCACAAGGGGUCCGCGAAACAUCGAUGGUUGAGAACCACUGCUCUAGUCUAUUAAAUAGGUGCGUGGUUCUCUGCACCUUGCACCCUUCUUAGAGGGAAAAGUGGCUCCCAGUCGCACGAAACAGAGCAAUAACAGGUCUGUGAUGCCCUUAGAU